rnacentral:rRNA from 1 species
GACGAACGCUGGCGGCGCGCUUAACACAUGCAAGUCGAGCGAAGCGGCGGACGGGGGAGUAACACGUGAGUAACCUGCCUGAGACAUUGGGAUAGCAUCGGGAAACCGGGAUUAAUACCAAAUGGUCUAAGAUGGACUCGCGUCCCAUUAGCUAGUUGGUGGGUAACGGCCCACUAAGGCGACGAUGGGUAGCCGGCCUGAGAGGAUGAACGGCGACAUUGGAACUGAGAAACGGUCCAAACUCUACGGGAUGCAGCAGUGGGGAAUAUUGCAAAAUGGAGGGAACUCUGAUGCAGCGCCGCCGCGUGAACGAAGAAGGCUUUCGAGUAGUAAAGUUCUUUUAUAUGGGAAGCGUUACCCGCAGAAGAAGCACCGGCUAACUCCGUGCCAGCCGCCGCGGUAAUAC